rnacentral:rRNA from 1 species
AAAUGAAUUGACGGGGGCCCGCACAAGCAGUGGAGUAUGUGGUUUAAUUCGAAGCAACGCGAAGAACCUUACCAGGGCUUGACAUCUACCGAAUCCUCAAGAGAUUGGGGAGUGCCUUUGGGAGCGGUAAGACAGGUGGUGCAUGGUUGUCGUCAGCUCGUGUCGUGAGAUGUUGGGUUAAGUCCCGCAACGAGCGCAACCCUUGUUGUUAGUUGCUAACAUGUUGUGAUGAGCACUCUAGCAAGACUGCCGGUGACAAAUCGGAGGAAGGUGGGGACGACGUCAAAUCAUCAUGCCCCUUAUGUCCUGGGCUACACACGUACUACAAUGGCUGUUAACAGAGGGAAGCGAGACAGUGAUGUGGAGCAAAUCCCCAAAAGCAGUCCCAGUUCAGAUUGUAGGCUGCAACUCGCCUACAUGAAGUCGGAAUUGCUAGUAAUCGCGGAUCAGCAUGCCGCGGUGAAUACGUUCCCGGGCCUUGUACACACCGCCCGU